CCAGUCUCCACUCGCCUCUCCACCGGAAUCGUCUCCCCCCGCAGGCCCGCACUCGCAAAUCUCCUCCCCUCUCCCCGCGCGGCGCGCCUGCACCUCCCGGUCCGGCGAGAGGCCACCGCCCGCGCGGCCGCGCUCCUCACACUCCCACCCGCCCCCUCGCUACGCAAGCCCUAGAAGCGCCGCCUCCACGGCCGCACCUCCGCCAGUCGCGCUCCUCGCCUCGCCGCUGCCUCCGUAGCCGUCGCGGGCGCCACCAUGCCGCUCCGGUUGGAUAUCAAGAGGAAGCUCGCGCAGAGGUCCGAGAGGGUGAAGUCCGUGGAUCUGCAUCCGACAGAGCCAUGGAUUUUGUCGAGUCUGUACUCGGGAAGCGUUUGUGUAUGGAACUACCAGACUCAGACAAUGGUGAAAUCAUUUGAAGUCACGGAUUUACCAGUUCGUUCGGCUAAAUUUAUUGCACGUAAGCAAUGGGUUGUUGCUGGUGCUGACGAUAUGUUCAUCCGUGUGUACAACUAUAACACAAUGGACAAGGUCAAGGUUUUUGAAGCUCACACUGAUUACAUUAGGUGUGUGGCUGUUCAUCCAACCCAGCCCUUUGUGCUAUCAUCGUCCGAUGACAUGCUGAUUAAGCUGUGGGAUUGGGAUAAAGGCUGGGUGUGUACUCAAAUAUUCGAAGGGCAUUCUCACUAUGUGAUGCAAGUUACAUUUAACCCAAAAGAUACCAACACCUUUGCCAGUGCUUCCCUGGAUCGCACAAUAAAGAUAUGGAGUCUUGGUUCCCCUGACCCAAAUUUCACACUAGAUGGCCAUUCAAAAGGUGUGAACUGUGUUGAUUACUUCACCGGUGGUGAUCGACCAUACUUAAUUACUGGCUCUGAUGAUCAGACUGCAAAGGUUUGGGACUACCAAACAAAGAGUUGCGUUCAAACACUUGAAGGACAUGCACAUAAUGUGUCUGCUGUAUGUUUCCAUCCAGAGCUACCUAUAAUAAUUACUGGUUCAGAGGAUGGGACAGUUCGAAUGUGGCAUUCUACUACCUACAGGCUUGAGAACACUCUUAACUAUGGCCUUGAGCGAGUUUGGGCUUUAGGAUAUAUGAAAGGGUCAAGAAGGGUCGUGAUUGGAUAUGAUGAAGGGACAAUAAUGAUAAAAAUUGGUCGUGAAGUUCCUGUUGCUAGCAUGGAUAGUAGUGGGAAAAUUAUAUGGGCAAAGCAUAAUGAAAUCCAAACUGUUAAUAUCAAGAGUGUUGGUGCAGACAAUGAGAUCGCAGAUGGUGAUCGGUUACCGUUGGCCGUGAAGGAGUUGGGAAGCUGCGAUCUUUAUCCACAAAGCUUAAGGCACAAUCCGAAUGGGAGAUUUGUUGUUGUAUGCGGAGAUGGAGAAUACAUAAUAUACACAGCAUUAGCAUGGAGAAACAAAUCAUUUGGGACCGCACUUGAAGUUGUUUGGUCAACUGAUGGAGAAUAUGCCAUCAGAGAAAGCACCUCGAGGAUAAAGAUAUACACUAAAAAUUUCCAGGAGAAGAAAAGUAUAAGGCCAUCAUUUUCUGCUGAACGGAUAUUUGGUGGAGUGUUACUUGCUAUGUGUACAAAUGACUUCAUUUGCUUCUAUGAUUGGGUGGAUUGCAGAUUGAUACGUCGAAUUGAUGUCAAUGUGAAGAAUCUUUACUGGGCCGACAGUGGUGAUUUAGUAACAAUUGCAAGUGAUACGUCAUUCUACAUUUUGAAAUAUAAUAGGGAUGUAGUUUCAUCUCAUUUGGAUGGAGGGGGUUCAGCUGGUGAGGAAGGUGUGGAAGAUGCCUUUGAACUGCUUCAUGAGAUCAAUGAACGUGUCCGCACUGGGCUAUGGGUUGGCGAUUGCUUCAUCUACAAUAAUUCUUCAUGGCGGCUUAAUUACUGUGUAGGAGGAGAGGUCACAACCUUGUUUCACUUGGAUAGGCCAAUGUAUUUACUAGGAUAUCUUGCAAACCAAAGCCGUGUCUAUCUUAUUGAUAAGCAAUUUAAUGUUGUGGGGUAUACUUUACUCCUUAGUUUGAUCGAGUAUAAAACACUUGUAAUGCGUGGGGAUUUUGAUCGCGCGAAUGAUGUUUUAUCAUCUAUACCAAAGGAACAAUAUGACAGUGUGGCACGUUUCUUGGAAUCACGGGGAAUGUUGGAGGAAGCCCUCGAGAUAGCAACUGACACUAAUUACAAAUUUGACCUGGCUGUGCAGCUUGGUCGACUUGAAAUUGCGAAGGCGAUUGCUACCGAGGUGCAAAGUGAGUCCAAGUGGAAGCAAUUAGGGGAGUUAGCUAUGUCAAAUGGAAAGCUUGAGAUGGCAGAGGAGUGUCUUCUACAUGCUAUGGACCUCAGUGGUUUGUUGCUUUUGUAUUCUUCCCUUGGGGAUGCUGAUGGCAUUAAGAAAUUGGCAUCUGUAGCCAAAGAACAAGGAAAGAACAAUGUUUCUUUCCUUUGUUUCUUCAUGCUAGGAAAGCUGGAAGAGUGUCUUCAGUUGCUAAUAGAAAGCAACCGUAUUCCGGAAGCAGCAUUGAUGGCAAGAUCUUAUCUUCCUAGCAAAGUCCCUGAGAUUGUAGCAUUGUGGAAAAAGGAUCUCCAGAAGGUAAACCCAAAAGCAGCAGAGUCGCUGGCUGAUCCUAAUGAGUACCCAAACUUAUUUGAAGACUGGCAGAUUGCUCUCAAUGUAGAAGCUGUUGUUGCCCCGAAAAGGGGUAUCUAUCCACCUGCCGAGGAGUACAUGAUUCAUGCUGAAAGGUCAAAUGAGAGUUUAGUGGAAGCUUUUAAAAAUAUGCAUGUACAUGAAGAGAUGGUACCAGAUGAUAAUGAAGAUACUGUUCAUGAGGUUAUUGAGGAUGGUGGAGUAGAAGAGAGUCAAGAAGAUGCUGUUGAGGGUGAUGCAGAGGAUGACGGAGUAGAAGAAGAAAGUCAAGACGAAGCUGUUGAGGUUGAGGCUGAGGGUUCAACUGAUGGUGCUGUCCUUGUGAAUGGAAACAGUAGUGAGGAACAGUGGGGUACGAAAAAUGAAGAACCAUCAGCAUAAAAGCUGUAGUUGAGCAAGUUGCUGACUCCUGAGCAAUAGUGGAUCAAUGGGACGGCAACUUUGCUUCAGUGGUUUAGUUUGUAAAGGUUGCUGACUGCUAUCUAGAGUACAUGCAAGCCAUUUUUCUUGAGCGGUAUUAAGCAUGGGAUGUGCUCUAGGAUUGGCUUAUCCACAUACGGAGUUGGACCGCAAUUAAUCAACACUUCAUCUUUGUGCCCUAUAUAGGAAAUUUUGUGCUACCUUUUUUACAUGUAGAUCAGAUCUUUAGGUCUCGAAGACAUUUUAUAGCCUAUCAUCAGAGGUACUCUUGUUUCACCGAGAUGGGAUAUGACUGGUGAUCGGAUGAGUGAUAUUUUACAGGGUACAUAGAGUAGUAGCUUGUCGAACUGAGAAUGUUUUACCUGUGAUAUGUACAUCGGACUUGGAGCUUUGUAUCAUUGUGUUACACCUUUUCAAUGGUAGCGAUUAGCGAAUAAUAAGUUUAGAGCAGAUGCUUUCAGUAGCCUGUUUAGUUAAUUGUGAGCAAUUUGUGUUGUGCUAUGUUUGUUGUUGUGAUGGCUAGGCUACUUAUAUAUCCGACUCCGUUGAGCUA